rnacentral:misc_RNA from 1 species
ACGAGUUAGGGCCUCUGGCCCGAUCUCCAACCCUUUGUUAUCAAAACCUCGUUGCCUCGGGGGCGACCCUGCCUCGCGGCUGGUCCCCCGGAGGAUCACUACAACUCUGCAUUUGAAUGUCGUCUGAGUAAACAUUUUGAAUGAAAUCA